GUAUGAAAUGUAUGUUAGUCGCUCUGGAUAAGAGCGUCUGCUAAAUGACUUAAA
rfam:Salmo salar isolate Sally breed double haploid chromosome ssa19, whole genome shotgun sequence.